rnacentral:rRNA from 1 species
GGAAUAUUGGUCAAUGGGCGCAAGCCUGAACCAGCCAUGCCGCGUGCAGGAAGACGGUCCUAUGGAUUGUAAACUUCUUUUAUUUGGGAAUAAACCUCUUUACGUGUAGAGAGCUGAAGGUACCAAAUGAAUAAGCACCGGCUAACUACGUGACAGCAGCCGCGGUAAUACGGAGGGUGCAAGCGUUAUCCGGAAUCCUGGGGUUUAAAGGGUCCGCAGGCGGACUUAUAAGGCAGUGGUGAAAUCCUACAGCUUAACUGUAGAACUGCCACUGAUACUGUAAGUCUUGAAUUCGGUCGAAGUGGGCGGAAUGUGACAUGUAGCGGUGAAAUGCUUAGAUAUGUCACAGAACACCGAUAGCGAAGGCAGCUCACUAGGCCGAUAUUGACGCUCAGGGACGAAAGCGUGGGGAGCAA